rnacentral:rRNA from 1 species
GACGAACGCUGGCGGCGUGCUUAACACAUGCAAGUCGAACGGAAAGGCCCCUUUGGGGGUACUCGAGUGGCGAACGGGUGAGUAACACGUGAGUAACCUGCCCUUGACUUCGGGAUAACUUCAGGAAACUGGGGCUAAUACCGGAUAGGAAUCCUUGCUGCAUGGUGGGGGUUGGAAAGCUUCGGCGGUUUUGGAUGGACUCGCGGCUUAUCAGCUUGUUGGUGGGGUAGUGGCUUACCAAGGCUUUGACGGGUAGCCGGCCUGAGAGGGCGACCGGCCACAUUGGGACUGAGAUACGGCCCAGACUCCUACGGGAGGCAGCAGUGGGGAAUAUUGCACAAUGGGCGGAAGCCUGACGCAGCAACGCCGCGUGCGGGAUGACGGCCUUCGGGUUGUAAACCGCUUUCAGCAGGGGCGAAGCUUGUGGUGACGGUACCUGCAGAAGAAGCACCGGCUAACUACGUG